GAUGAACGCUAGCUGCAGGCUUAACACAUGCAAGUCGAGGGGAAACGACAUCGAAGGCUUGCUUUUGCUGGGCGUCGACGGGCGCACGGGUGGGUAACGCGUAUCCCACCUGCCCAUCACUUCGUGAUAACCUUGCGAAAGUAAGACUAAUACACAAUCAGAUCUCUAGAAGACAUCUGAAAGAGAUUACAGAUUUAUCUGUGAUGGAUGGGGAUGCGUCUGAUGAGCUUGUUGGCGGGGUACCGGCCCACCAAGGCAACGAUUAGUAGGGGUUCGGAGAGGAAGCGCCCCCACAGUGGAACUGGGACCCGGUCCAAACUCCUACGGGAGGCAGCAGUGAGGGAGAUAGGUGAAUGGGCGAGAGCCUGAACCAGCCAAGUAGCGUGCAGGAAGACGGCCCUAUGGGUUGUAAACUGCUUUUAUAAGGGAACAAAGUGAGAGUCGUGACUCCGUGUGUAUGUACCGUAUAAAUAAGGACCGGCUAAUUCCGUG
rnacentral:rRNA from 1 species